UUACAUCCUGGCCAGUGUUGUAACCAUUCAAAACUAAUUAAGAAUCUGUCGAGCCUGCUUUUUGCUUUACCAUUAGGUCUGUACCAAGUAUAUUUUCUACCAAUACUGGGUAUAUCCACCAAUUCCAUAUUAUCAAUGAAGUUAUUAAAACCUUGCAAUUCUCUCUUGUUACCAUUGGAACUAUUUAUCCCCCUACGUUCCCUUUCGUGUCUUAUGGAGUUGAAAUCCCCCAAAAUGCACCAAGAGUUACAAGGUUCCCUUUGCCUAAUCUCUAAUAAAUCUGCCCACAUUUGCCUUUUCAC
rnacentral:lncRNA from 1 species